GAUGAACGCUGGCGGCGUGCCUCAAACAUGCAAGUCGAGCGGGGCUAUGUAAUAUCGCAAGGUAGAACAUAGCCUAGCGGCGAACGGGUGAGUAACACGUGGGUAACCUGCCUGGAAGACAGGGAUAACGAUUCGAAAGGGUCGCUAAUACCUGAUAAUAUCCUUUCAUCGCAUGGUGAUAGGAAGAAAGGGGAAACCCGCUUUCAGAUGGGCCCGCGUCCCAUCAGCUAGUUGGUAAGGUAAAGGCUUACCAAGGCGACGACGGGUAGCCGGUCUGAGAGGAUGUACGGCCACACUGGGACUGAGAUACGGCCCAGACUCCUACGGGAGGCAGCAGUUGGGAAUCUUGGACAAUGGGGGCAACCCUGAUCCAGCCAUGCCGCGUGAGUGAAGAAGGCCUUCGGUGUAAAGCUCUUUCGGUCCGGGAAGAAAGUCGACGCAGGCUAAUACCCUGUGUGGAUGACGGUACCGGAAUAAGAAGCACCGGCUAACUACGUGCCAGCAGACCCGG
rnacentral:rRNA from 1 species